rnacentral:rRNA from 1 species
UGGGGAAUUUUGGACAAUGGGCGAAAGCCUGAUCCAGCAAUGCCGCGUGUGUGAAGAAGGCCUUCGGGUUGUAAAGCACUUUUGUCCGGAAAGAAAUCCUCUGGGUUAAUACCUCGGGGGGAUGACGGUACCGGAAGAAUAAGCACCGGCUAACUACGUGCCAGCAGCCGCGGUAAUACGUAGGGUGCAAGCGUUAAUCGGAAUUACUGGGCGUAAAGCGUGCGCAGGCGGUUUUGUAAGACGGAUGUGAAAUCCCCGGGCUUAACCUGGGGAAACUGCAUUCGUGACUGCAAGGCUAGAGUAUGGCAGAGGGGGGUAGAAUUCCACGUGUAGGCAGUGAAAUGCGUAGAGAUGUGGAGGAAUACCGAUGGCGAAGGCAGCCCCCUGGGCCAAAUACUGACGCUCAUGCACGAAAGCCGUGGGGAGCAAACAGGAUUAGAUACCCUGGUAGUCCACGCCCUAAACGAUGUCAACUAGUUGUUGGGGAUUCAUUUCCUUAGUAACGUAGCUAACGCGUGAAGUUGACC